AGCAGCAGUGGGGAUAUUGCACAAUGGGGGAAACCCUGAUGCAGCCAUGCCGCGUGUGUGAAGAAGGCCUUCGGGUUGUAAAGCACUUUCAGUAGGGAGGAAAGGUAGCAGCUUAAUACGCUGUUGCUGUGACGUUACCUACAGAAGAAGGACCGGCUAACUCCGUGCCAGCAGCCGCGGUAAUACGGAGGGUCCGAGCGUUAAUCGGAAUUACUGGGCGUAAAGCGUGCGCAGGCGGUUUGUUAAGCGAGAUGUGAAAGCCCCGGGCUCAACCUGGGAAUUGCAUUUCGAACUGGCGAACUAGAGUCUUGUAGAGGGGGGUAGAAUUCCAGGUGUAGCGGUGAAAUGCGUAGAGAUCUGGAGGAAUACCGGUGGCGAAGGCGGCCCCCUGGACAAAGACUGACGCUCAGGCACGAAAGCGUGGGGAGCAAACAGGAUUAGAUACCCUGGUAGUCCACGCCGUAAACGAUGUCUACUCGGAGUUUGGUGUCUUGAACACUGGGCUCUCAAGCUAACGCAUUAAGUAGACCGCCUGGGGAGUACGGCCGCAAGGUUAAAACUCAAAUGAAUUGACGGGGGCCCCC
rnacentral:rRNA from 1 species